GACGAACGCUGGCGGCGCGCCUAAAACAUGCAAGUCGAACGAGAAACCCGGGCUUGCCCGGGUGGACAGUGGCGAACGGGUGAGUAACACGUGAGGAACCUGCCCCGAAGACCGGGACAA
rnacentral:rRNA from 1 species